UACGGAGGAUGCAAGCAUUAUCCGGAAUGAUUGGGCGUAAAGCGUCCGCAGGUGGUUGUGUGUGUCUAUUGUCAAAGCAUCAUGCUUAACAUGCUAAAGGCAGUGGAAACUACCCGACUAGAGUGAGUUCGGGGCAGAGGGAAUUCCUGGUGUAGCGGUGAAAUGCGUAGAGAUCGGGAAGAACACCGGUGGCGAAAGCGCUCUGCUGGGCCGAAACUGACACUGAGGCACGAAAGCUAGGGGAGUGAAUGGG
rnacentral:rRNA from 1 species